CCUACGGGGGGCAGCAGUGAGGAAUAUUGGUCAAUGGGCUUACGCCUGAACCAGCCAUGCCGCGUGCAGGAAGACGGCUCUAUGAGUUGUAAACUGCUUUUGUACGAGGGUAAACGCAGAUACGCGUAUCUGUCUGAAAGUAUCGUACGAAUAAGGAUCGGCUAACUCCGUGCCAGCAGCCGCGGUAAUACGGAGGAUUCAAGCGUUAUCCGGAUUUAUUGGGUUUAAAGGGUGCGUAGGGGGUCGGAUAAGUUAGAGGUGAAAUCCCGAGGCUCAACUUCGGAAUUGCCUCUGAUACUGGUCGGCUAGAGAGUAGUGGCGGUAGGCGGAAUGUAUGGUGGAGCGGUGAAAUGCUUAGAGAUGAUACAGAACACCGAUUGCGAAGGCAGCUUACCAAGCUACUUCUGACGUUGAGGCACGAAAGCGUGGGGAGCAAACAGGAUUAGAUACCCCUGUAGUC
rnacentral:rRNA from 1 species